rnacentral:rRNA from 1 species
CGUGAGCAACCUGCCCCAGACUCUGGGAUAACUCCGGGAAACCGGUGCUAAUACCGGAUACGAGACGCUCAGGCAUCUGAUGCGUCUGGAAAGUUUUUCGGUCUGGGAUGGGCUCGCGGCCUAUCAGCUUGUUGGUGGGGUAACGGCCCACCAAGGCGACGACGGGUAGCCGGCCUGAGAGGGCGACCGGCCACACUGGGACUGAGACACGGCCCAGACUCCUACGGGAGGCAGCAGUGGGGAAUAUUGCGCAAUGGGCGAAAGCCUGACGCAGCGACGCCGCGUGAGGGACGAAGGCCUUCGGGUUGUAAACCUCUUUCAGCAGGGAAGAAGCGAAAGUGACGGUACCUGCAGAAGAAGCACCGGCUAACUACGUGCCAGCAGCCGCGGUAAUACGUAGGGUGCAAGCGUUGUCCGGAAUUAUUGGGCGUAAAGAGCUCGUAGGCGGUCUGUCGCGUCUGCCGUGAAAACUCGGGGCUCAACC